rnacentral:rRNA from 1 species
AGAGUUUGAUCCUGGCUCAGAUUGAACGCUGGCGGCAGGCCUAACACAUGCAAGUCGAACGGUAACAGGAAACAGCUUGCUGUUUCGCUGACGAGUGGCGGACGGGUGAGUAAUGUCUGGGAAACUGCCUGAUGGAGGGGGAUAACUACUGGAAACGGUAGCUAAUACCGCAUAACGUCGCAAGACCAAAGAGGGGGACCUUUGGGCCUCUUGCCAUCGGAUGUGCCCAGAUGGGAUUAGCUAGUAGGUGGGGUAACGGCUCACCUAGGCGACGAUCCCUAGCUGGUCUGAGAGGAUGACCAGCCACACUGGAACUGAGACACGGUCCAGACUCCUACGGGAGGCAGCAGUGGGGAAUAUUGCACAAUGGGCGCAAGCCUGAUGCAGCCAUGCCGCGUGUAUGAAGAAGGCCUUCGGGUUGUAAAGUACUUUCAGCGGGGAGGAAGGGAGUAAAGUUAAUACCUUUGCUCAUUGACGUUACCCGCAGAAGAAGCACCGGCUAACUCCGUGCCAGCAGCCGCGGUAAUACGGAGGGUGCAAGCGUUAAUCGGAAUUACUGGGCGUAAAGCGCACGCAGGCGGUUUGUUAAGUCAGAUGUGAAAUCCCCGGGCUCAACCUGGGAACUGCAUCUGAUACUGGCAAGCUUGAGUCUCGUAGAGGGGGGUAGAAUUCCAGGUGUAGCGGUGAAAUGCGUAGAGAUCUGGAGGAAUACCGGUGGCGAAGGCGGCCCCCUGGACGAAGACUGACGCUCAGGUGCGAAAGCGUGGGGAGCAAACAGGAUUAGAUACCCUGGUAGUCCACGCCGUAAACGAUGUCGACUUGGAGGUUGUGCCCUUGAGGCGUGGCUUCCGGAGCUAACGCGUUAAGUCGACCGCCUUGGGGAGUACGGCCGCAAGGUUAAAACUCAAAUGAAUUGACGGGGGCCCGCACAAGCGGUGGAGCAUGUGGUUUAAUUCGAUGCAACGCGAAGAACCUUACCUGGUCUUGACAUCCACGGAAGUUUUCAGAGAUGAGAAUGUGCCUUCGGGAACCGUGAGACAGGUGCUGCAUGGCUGUCGUCAGCUCGUGUUGUGAAAUGUUGGGUUAAGUCCCGCAACGAGCGCAACCCUUAUCCUUUGUUGCCAGCGGUCCGGCCGGGAACUCAAAGGAGACUGCCAGUGAUAAACUGGAGGAAGGUGGGGAUGACGUCAAGUCAUCAUGGCCCUUACGACCAGGGCUACACACGUGCUACAACGGCGCAUACAAAGAGAAGCGACCUCGCGAGAGCAAGCGGACCUCAUAAAGUGCGUCGUAGUCCGGAUUGGAGUCUGCAACUCGACUCCAUGAAGUCGGAAUCGCUAGUAAUCGUGGAUCAGAAUGCCACGGUGAAUACGUUCCCGGGCCUUGUACACACCGCCCGUCACACCAUGGGAGUGGGUUGCAAAAGAAGUAGGUAGCUUAACCUUCGGGAGGGCGCUUACCACUUUGUGAUUCAUGACUGGGGUGAAGUCGUAACAAGGUAACC